AUUGAACGCUGGCGGCAUGCUUUACACAUGCAAGUCGAACGGCAGCGCGGGCUUCGGCCUGGCGUCGAGUGGCGAACGGGUGAGUAAUGCAUCGGAACGUGCCCAGUAGUGGGGGAUAGCCCGGCGACAGCCGGAUUAAUACCGCAUACGACCUGAGGGUGAAAGCGGGGGACCGAAAGGCCUUGCGCUAUUGGAGCGGCCGAUGUCGGAUUAGCUAGUUGGUGGGGUAAAGGCUUACCAAGGCGACGAUCCGUAGCUGGUCUGAGAGGACGACCAGCCACACUGGGACUGAGACACGGCCCAGACUCCUACGGGAGGCAGCAGUGGGGAAUUUUAGACAAUGGGGGCAACCCUGAUCCAGCCAUGCCGCGUGCGGGAAGAAGGCCUUCGGGUUGUAAAGCGCUUUUGUUCGGGAAGAAAUCCUCUGGGCUAAUACCCCGGGGGGAUGACGGUACCGGAAGAAUAAGCACCGGCUAACUACGUG
rnacentral:rRNA from 1 species